rnacentral:tRNA from 1 species
GGUUCCAUAGUGUAGCGGUUAGCACAUCCGUUUUACACGCAGACGGUCCUGGGUUCAUGCCCCACUGGAGCCA